UCCAAUUCGUUCUCUAUCGCCUGGCCCAUC
rnacentral:sRNA from 1 species